rnacentral:rRNA from 1 species
GGAGAGACUACAGGAUUCCCCUAGUAACGGCGAGUGAAGCGGGAACAGCUCAAAUUUGAAAUCUCUCAGGGCCACCUGGGCGAAUUGUAGUUUAGAGAAGCGUCUUCGGGGGUGACUUGGGUAUAAGUCCUCUGGAACGGGGCGUCGUAGAGGGUGAGAAUCCCGUUCACGAUCCAAUGCUCACUCCCUUGUGAUACGCUUUCCAAGAGUCAGGUAGUUUGGGAUUGCUGCCUAAAAUGGGUGGUAAAUACCAUCUAAAGCUAAAUACUGGCGAGAGACCGAUAGCGAACAAGUACCGUGAGGGAAAGAUGAAAAGAACUUUGAAAAGAGAGUUAAACAGUACGUGAAAUUGCCAAAAGGGAAACGCUUGGAACCAGUGCUGCGUGCAGACAAUCAGCCGUACGGCCUGCAAGGGUUAUUGCGGUGCACUUGUCUGCGUGCGGGCCAACAUCAGUUUGGCUUCGGGUAAAAAGCUGGAGGAAGGUGACUUGGGCUUCGGCCUGAGUGUUAUAGCCUCCAGUCAUGCCCGGGGCCGGACUGAGGACUGCAGCGCUCUUUGGGUACCUGGUCGCCUCCUGAACUUUGCGUCUAGACAGCACGCUGACUAGGUGUGACGCUAGGGAGCCCGGCCGGCUUGCCACACCAGCGCUUGGGAUGUUGGCGAAAUGGUUCUAAACGACCCGUCUUGAAACACGGACCAAGGAGUCUAACAUAUAUGCGAGUAUUUGGGUGGCAAACCCUUAUGCGCAAUGAAAGUGAACUUAGGUGGGAUCUUCGGUGCACCAUCGACCGGUCUGGAUUUUUUUGAUAGAUCUGAGUAAGAGCAUAUCUGUUGGGACCCGAAAGAUGGUGAACUAUGCCUGAAUAGGGUGAAGCCAGAGGAAACUCUGGUGGAGGCUCGUAGCGAUUCUGACGUGCAAAUCGAUCGUCAAAUUUGGGUAUAGGGGCGAAAGACAAUCAACCUC